rnacentral:rRNA from 1 species
AAGACUGGGAUAACUUCGGGAAACCGGAGCUAAUACCGGAUAAUAUUUUGAACCGCAUGGUUCAAAAGUGAAAGACGGUCUUGCUGUCACUUAUAGAUGGAUCCGCGCUGCAUUAGCUAGUUGGUAAGGUAACGGCUUACCAAGGCAACGAUGCAUAGCCGACCUGAGAGGGUGAUCGGCCACACUGGAACUGAGACACGGUCCAGACUCCUACGGGAGGCAGCAGUAGGGAAUCUUCCGCAAUGGGCGAAAGCCUGACGGAGCAACGCCGCGUGAGUGAUGAAGGUCUUCGGAUCGUAAAACUCUGUUAUUAGGGAAGAACAUAUGUGUAAGUAACUGUGCACAUCUUGACGGUACCUAAUCAGAAAGCCACGGCUAACUACGUGCCAGCAGCCGCGGUAAUACGUAGGUGGCAAGUGUUAUCCGGAAUUAUUGGGCGUAAAGCGCGCGUAGGCGGUUUUUUAAGUCUGAUGUGAAAGCCCACGGCUCAACCGUGGAGGGUCAUUGGAAACUGGAAAACUUGAGUGCAGAAGAGGAAAGUGGAAUUCCAUGUGUAGCGGUGAAAUGCGCAGAGAUAUGGAGGAACACCAGUGGCGAAGGCGACUUUCUGGUCUGUAACUGACGCUGAUGUGCGAAAGCGUGGGGAUCAAACAGGAUUAGAUACCCUGGUAGUCCACGCCGUAAACGAUGAGUGCUAAGUGUUAGGGGGUUUCCGCCCCUUAGUGCUGCAGCUAACGCAUUAAGCACUCCGCCUGGGGAGUACGACCGCAAGGUUGAAACUCAAAGGAAUUGACGGGGACCCGCACAAGCGGUGGAGCAUGUGGUUUAAUUCGAAGCAACGCGAAGAACCUUACCAAAUCUUGACAUCCUUUGACAACUCUAGAGAUAGAGCUUUCCCCUUCGGGGGACAAAGUGACAGGUGGUGCAUGGUUGUCGUCAGCUCGUGUCGUGAGAUGUUGGGUUAAGUCCCGCAACGAGCGCAACCCUUAAGCUUAGUUGCCAUCAUUAAGUUGGGCACUCUAAGUUGACUGCCGGUGACAAACCGGAGGAAGGUGGGGAUGACGUCAAAUCAUCAUGCCCCUUAUGAUUUGGGCUACACACGUGCUACAAUGGACAAUACAAAGGGCAGCGAAACCGUGAGGUCAAGCAAAUCCCAUAAAGUUGUUCUCAGUUCGGAUUGUAGUCUGCAACUCGACUACAUGAAGCUGGAAUCGCUAGUAAUCGUAGAUCAGCAUGCUACGGUGAAUACGUUCCCGGGUCUUGUACACACCGCCCGUCACACCACGAGAGUUUGUAACACCCGAAGCCGGUGGAGUAACCUUUUAGGAGCUAGCCGUCGAAGGUGGGACAAAUGAUUGGGGUGAAGUCGUAACAAGGUAGCCGUAUCGGAAGGUGCGGCUGGAUCACCUCCUUUCUAAGGA